GACGGAAGGUGCAAGCGUUGCUCGGAAUCACUGGGCGUAAAGGGUGCGUAGGCGGCCCUGUAAGUCCGUUGUGAAAGUCAAAGGCUCAACCUUUGAAAGCCGAUGGAUACUGCAGGGCUAGAGUCCGGAAGAGGCGAGUGGAAUUCCUGGUGUAGCGGUGGAAUGCGCAGGAUAUCAGGAGGAACACCAAUAGCGAAGGCAGCUCGCUGGGACGGUACUGACGCUAAGGCGCGAAAGCGUGGGGAGCGAACAGG
rnacentral:rRNA from 1 species